rnacentral:rRNA from 1 species
UACGGAGGAUCCGAGCGUUAUCCGGAUUUAUUGGGUUUAAAGGGAGCGUAGGUGGAUUGUUAAGUCAGUUGUGAAAGUUUGCGGCUCAACCGUAAAAUUGCAGUUGAAACUGGCAGUCUUGAGUACAGUAGAGGUGGGCGGAAUUCGUGGUGUAGCGGUGAAAUGCGUAGAUAUAUGGAAGAACACCAGUGGCGAAAGCGGCUCUCUGGUCUGUAACUGACGCUGAGGUUCGAAAGCGUGGGUAGCAAACAGG